rnacentral:rRNA from 1 species
CGGGUGAGUAAUGCCUAGGAAUCUGCCUGGUAGUGGGGGACAACGUUUCGAAAGGAACGCUAAUACCGCAUACGUCCUACGGGAGAAAGCAGGGGACCUUCGGGCCUUGCGCUAUCAGAUGAGCCUAGGUCGGAUUAGCUAGUUGGUGAGGUAAUGGCUCACCAAGGCGACGAUCCAUAACUGGUCUGAGAGGAUGAUCAGUCACACUGGAACUGAGACACGGUCCAGACUCCUACGGGAGGCAGCAGCC